UUGGAGGGCAAGUCUGGUGCCAGCAGCCGCGGUAAUUCCAGCUCCAAUAGCGUAUAUUAAAGUUGUUGCAGUUAAAAAGCUCGUAGUUGAAUUUCGGGAUCAGAUUGUCGGUCGUGCCUCGGUACGCACUGGUAAUAUUGGUUCCUACCUUCUGAAGAACCUCGAUGUCAUUAAUUUGGUGUCGUGGGGAAUCAGGACUGUUACUUUGAAAAAAUUAGAGUGUUUAAAGCGGGCUUACGCUUGAAUACAUUAGCAUGGAAUAAUGAAAUAGGACGUUUGAUUCUAUUUUGUUGGUUUCUAGGAUUGACGUAAUGAUUAAUAGGGAUAGUUGGGGGCAUUAGUAUUCAAUUGUCAGAGGUGAAAUUCUUGGAUUUAUUGAAGACUAACUACUGCGAAAGCAUUUGCCAAGGAUGUUUUCAUUAAUCAAGAACGAAAGUUAGGGGAUCGAAGACGAUCAGAUACCGUCGUAGUCUUAACCAUAAACUAUGCCGACUAGGGAUCGGAUGAUGUUAAUUUUUUAAUGACUCAUUCGGCGCCUUACGGGAAAC
rnacentral:rRNA from 1 species